AGAGUUUGAUCCUGGCUCAGAUUGAACGCUGGCGGUAGGCUUAACACAUGCAAGUCGAGCGGUAACAGGCAUUUUGAUUCAGCUUGCUGAAUCUCGCGCUGACGAGCGGCGGACGGGUGAGUAACGCGUAGGAAUCUACCUAGUAGAAGGGGAUAGCCCGGGGAAACUCGGAUUAAUACCGUAUACGUCCUUAGGGAGAAAGAGGGCUUAGCUUUGAUGCUCUCGCUAUUAGAUGAGCCUGCGUAAGAUUAGCUUGUUGGUGAGGUAAAGGCUCACCAAGGCUACGAUCUUUAGCUGGUCUGAGAGGACGAUCAGCCACAUUGGGACUGAGACACGGCCCAGACUCCUACGGGAGGCAGCAGUGGGGAAUAUUGGACAAUGGGCGCAAGCCUGAUCCAGCCAUACCGCGUGUGUGAAGAAGGCCUUCGGGUUGUAAAGCACUUUAAGUAAGGAAGAAAAGUAUAUUGUUAAUACCAAUGUACCGUGACAUUACUUACAGAAUAAGGACCGGCUAAUUCCGUGCCAGCAGCCGCGGUAAUACGGAAGGUCCAAGCGUUAAUCGGAAUUACUGGGCGUAAAGCGCGCGUAGGUGGUUUAUUAAGUUGGGUGUGAAAGCCCCGGGCUCAACCUGGGAACUGCAUCCAAAACUGAUUCACUAGAGUACGAAAGAGGGAGGUAGAAUUCACAGUGUAGCGGUGGAAUGCGUAGAUAUUGUGAAGAAUACCAAUGGCGAAGGCAGCCUCCUGGUUCUGUACUGACACUGAGGUGCGAAAGCGUGGGUAGCGAACAGGAUUAGAUACCCUGGUAGUCCACGCCGUAAACGAUGACAACCAGCUGUUGGGAAGCAAUGCUUUUCAGUGGCGCAGCUAACGUCUUAAGUUGUCCGCCUGGGGAGUACGGCCGCAAGGUUAAAACUCAAAGGAAUUGACGG
rnacentral:rRNA from 1 species